CUCUGUGUCAAGGCCGGCCCUUUUCUUCUCAUUCUACUACACCCACAAGCCACACCUAUUUAUCAUCAUCACUCCUCCUAAAGCAAAUAAAUGAAAGAACAAAAAAUGAAGAAGCUCAAUAUUAUACUUACUUGUUGGUGUGUCAUGUGUGCGUAGAUAUGAUGUGGAUUGUGUAAGAAACUAAUGUGGCUACUGGGUCCUCUC